UACGAAGGGGGCUAGCGUUGCUCGGAAUUACUGGGCGUAAAGCGCACGUAGGCGGAAUGUUAAGUCAGGGGUGAAAUCCCGGGGCUCAACCCCGGAACUGCCUUUGAUACUGGCAUUCUCGAGUCCGGAAGAGGUGAGUGGAAUUCCGAGUGUAGAGGUGAAAUUCGUAGAUAUUCGGAGGAACACCAGUGGCGAAGGCGGCUCACUGGUCCGGUACUGACGCUGAGGUGGCGAAAGCGUGGGGAGCAACAGG
rnacentral:rRNA from 1 species